ACACUUGGUUGCUAUGGUGGUUGCUAGGGUCCCCAUGAUGGUUGCUAGGGUCGUUGCUAGGGUACCCAGGAUGGUUGCUAGGGUAAUCGGGGUGGUUGCUAGGGUCCCCAUGAUGGUUGCUAGGGCCGUUGCUAGGGUACUCAGGGUGGUUGCUAGGGUAAUCGGGGUGGUUGCUAGGGUGUUGCUAUGUGGUUGCUAGGGUACCCGGGGUGGUUGCUAGGGCGGUUGCUAGGGUCCCCAUGAUGGUUGCUAGGGCCGUUGCUAGGGUACCCAGGGUGGUUGCUAGGGUAAUUGGGGCGGUUGCUAGGGUGUUGCUAUGUGGUUGCUAGGGUACCCGGGGUGGUUGCUAGGGCGGUUGCUAGGGUCCCCAUGAUGGUUGCUAGGGCCGUUGCUAGGGUACCCAGGUUGGUUGCUAGGGUAAUCGGGGUGGUUGCUAGGGUGUUGCUAUGUGGUUGCUAGGGUACCCGGGGUGGUUGCUAGGGCGGUUGCUAGGGUCCCCAUGAUGGUUGCUAGGGCCGUUGCUAGGGUACCCAGGUUGGUUGCUAGGGUAAUCGGGGUGGUUGCUAGGGUGUUGCUAUGUGGUUGCUAGGGUACCCGGGGUGGUUGCUAGGGCGGUUGCUAGGGUCCCCAUGAUGGUUGCUAGGGCCGUUGCUAGGGUACCCAUGUUGGUUGCUAGGGUAAUCGGGGUGGUUGCUAGGGUGUUGCUAUGUGGUUGCUAGGGUACCCGGGGUGGUUGCUAGGGCGGUUGCUAGGGUCCCCAUGAUGGUUGCUAGGGCCAUUGCUAGGGUACCCAGGGUGGUUG